GAUUAUGGAUCUGGAGGUGGGGCGAUGAAAUGUGGAAAACAACUCAGAACUUUGUCUUUGAACUCAAGAACUGCUGCUUGUUGGAGAAGGUCAAUUUAGAGCAUCAGCGUUCAACCUUCUUCAGUUUACAGGGCCUUCAGGAAAGAAAUUCCAUGUUAUAAAGGUGCCACCUAAAAUUCACAGUUCCUGAGAGAAAAUGAUGUUUUUCCUUUAUAUCUGUCUCUUUCAUUAGUGAAGUCAGUACUCAAGGAUUCUAUAUUGGGCACUAACCCUAGAAGAGCUAGACUGAUGACUUUUGGAAGUCUACCUGUGCUUGGCUUGCUUUCUAAUGUUCACAGAUCCUGUUGAUAUCUUCUACUUAGACUUGAUGUGGAACCUGUUUUGUAAUUGUUCUUUGUUCC